UACGGAGGGUGCAAGCGUUGUCCGGAAUCACUGGGCGUAAAGGGCGCGUAGGCGGCUCAUGAAGGCUGUGGUGAAAGUCCGGGGCUCAACCUCGGAUCGGCCGUGGCGACUCGUGGGCUGGAGCACUGUAGAGGCGGGUGGAAUUCCGGGUGUAGCGGUGGAAUGCGUAGAGAUCCGGAAGAACACCAGUGGCGAAGGCGGCCCGCUGGGCAGUGGCUGACGCUGAGGCGGCGAACAGCGUGGGGAGCAAACGA
rnacentral:rRNA from 1 species